GCUUACACAUGCAGUCGAACGAUGAAGCCCAGCUUGCUGGGUGGAUUAGUGGCGAACGGGUGAGUAACACGUGAGUAACCUGCCCUUAACUCUGGGAUAAGCCUGGGAAACUGGGUCUAAUACCGGAUAGGAGCGUCCACCGCAUGGUGGGUGUUGGAAAGAUUUAUCGGUUUUGGAUGGACUCGCGGCCUAUCAGCUUGUUGGUGAGGUAAUGGCUCACCAAGGCGACGACGGGUAGCCGGCCUGAGAGGGUGACCGGCCACACUGGGACUGAGACACGGCCCAGACUCCUACGGGAGGCAGCAGUGGGGAAUAUUGCACAAUGGGCGAAAGCCUGAUGCAGCGACGCCGCGUGAGGGAUGACGGCCUUCGGGUUGUAAACCUCUUUCAGUAGGGAAGAAGCGAAAGUGACGGUACCUGCAGAAGAAGCACCGGCUAACUACGUGCCAGCAGCCGCGGUAAUACGUAGGGUGCGAGCGUUAUCCGGAAUUAUUGGGCGUAAAGAGCUCGUAGGCGGUUUGUCGCGUCUGUCGUGAAAGUCCGGGGCUUAACCCCGUAUCUGCGGUGGGUACGGGCAGACUAGAGUGCAGUAGGGGAGACUGGAAUUCCUGGUGUAGCGGUGGAAUGCGCAGAUAUCAGGAGGAACACCGAUGGCGAAGGCAGGUCUCUGGGCUGUAACUGACGCUGAGGAGCGAAAGCAUGGGGAGCGAACAGGAUUAGAUACCCUGGUAGUCCAUGCCGUAAACGUUGGGCACUAGGUGUGGGGACCAUUCCACGGUUUCCGCGCCGCAGCUAACGCAUUAAGUGCCCCGCCUGGGGAGUACGGCCGCAAGGCUAAAACUCAAAGGAAUUGACGGGGGCCCGCACAAGCGGCGGAGCAUGCGGAUUAAUUCGAUGCAACGCGAAGAACCUUACCAAGGCUUGACAUGUUCUCGAUCGCCGUAGAGAUACGGUUUCCCCUUUGGGGUGGGUUCACAGGUGGUGCAUGGUUGUCGUCAGCUCGUGUCGUGAGAUGUUGGGUUAAGUCCCGCAACGAGCGCAACCCUCGUUCCAUGUUGCCAGCACGUCGUGGUGGGGACUCAUGGGAGACUGCCGGGGUCAACUCGGAGGAAGGUGAGGACGACGUCAAAUCAUCAUGCCCCUUAUGUCUUGGGCUUCACGCAUGCUACAAUGGCCGGUACAAUGGGUUGCGAUACUGUGAGGUGGAGCUAAUCCCAAAAAGCCGGUCUCAGUUCGGAUUGGGGUCUGCAACUCGACCCCAUGAAGUCGGAGUCGCCUAGUAAUCGCAGAU
rnacentral:rRNA from 1 species